CCUACGGGAGGCAGCAGUGGGGAAUUUUGCGCAAUGGGCGAAAGCCUGACGCAGCAACGCCGCGUGGAGGAUGAAGGUCCUCGGAUCGUAAACUCCUGUCAGGGGGGACGAAAGCCGCGCAAGCGGUCUGACUGUACCCUCUGAGGAAGCCACGGCUAACUCCGUGCCAGCAGCCGCGGUAAUACGGAGGUGGCAAGCGUUGUUCGGAAUUACUGGGCGUAAAGGGCGCGUAGGCGGCUUGGCAAGUCAGAUGUGAAAGCCCCGGGCUUAACCUGGGAAU
rnacentral:rRNA from 1 species